rnacentral:tRNA from 1 species
GUCCUUGUAGCUUACAAAAAAGCAUAGCACUGAAGAUGCUAAGACGACCUCUAACAUGUGUCCAAGGACAA